UUUUGUCUUGCGGAAGAGACCGGCUCAUGCCCGGCGCCGAAGGAGCAACCGCCCCGGAAACUCUCAGGCAACAAGGACCGCAAGACUACU
rnacentral:ncRNA from 1 species